AACGAACGCUGGCGGUAUGCUUAACACAUGCAAGUCGAACGAACGAACCUAGCUUGCUAGGUAAGUUAGUGGCAAACGGGUGAGUAACACGUGGGAAUCUACCCAGUAGUACGGAAUAACAGUUGGAAACGACUGCUAAUACCGUAUAGUAUCGAGAGAUUAAAGAUUUAUCGCUACUGGAUGAGCCCGCGUCAGAUUAGGUAGUUGGUGGGGUAAUGGCCUACCAAGCCGAAGAUCUGAGCUGGUCUGAGAGGAUGAUCAGCCACACUGGAACUGAGACACGGUCCAGACUCCUACGGGAGGCAGCAGUGAGGAAUAUUGGACAAUGGGCGAAAGCCUGAUCCAGCAAUACCGCGUGAGUGAAGAAGGCCUUAGGGUUGUAAAGCUCUUUCAGCAGGGAAAAUGAUGAUGGUACCUGCAAAAGAAGUUCCGGCUAACUCCGUGCCAGCCGCCGCAGUAAU
rnacentral:rRNA from 1 species